GUGGAAAGAGGGAGAAGGCUGGGCCGGAAGAGAACAACACCCACGCCUGGACGGAUCCGCGGCACCUUCAUGAGGCUCAUGGGGACAGGGACAGUCAGGCCUGCUGUCCACAUGGCUGGGAGCCACCCACACAGCCCUCGCCUGGCUCUGCCUCCAGGUGACGCUGGCUAUUCCUGGGAAAGGCCACCCUGCCUCCCUGGGCUGCUGCACCUGCCUCAUGGACAUAAAGGGCUCCACCUGCCUGACUCACUUCCAAUGUGGUAUGACCUUAAAUAACAGGAGAAGGAGGAGGAGAGCUUUGAAAACUGAGCCUGGUGCUUGUGUCUGUUCCCACCACCAGGCAGCUGGUGU
rnacentral:lncRNA from 1 species